rnacentral:rRNA from 1 species
AUUGAACGCUGGCGGCAGGCUUAACACAUGCAAGUCGAGCGGAGUGAUGGUGCUUGCACUAUCACUUAGCGGCGGACGGGUGAGUAAUGCUUAGGAAUCUGCCAUUUAGUGGGGGACAACACUCCGAAAGGAAUGCUAAUACCGCAUACGUCCUACGGGAGAAAGCAGGGGAUCUUCGGACCUUGCGCUAAAUGAUGAGCCUAAGUCGGAUUAGCUAGUUGGUGGGGUAAAGGCCUACCAAGGCGACGAUCUGUAGCGGGUCUGAGAGGAUGAUCCGCCACACUGGGACGGAGACACCGCCCAGACUCCUACGGGAGGCAGCAGUGGGGAAUAUUGGACAAUGGGCGGAAGCCUGAUCCAGCCAUGCCGCGUGUGUGAAGAAGGCCUUUUGGUUGUAAAGCACUUUAAGCGAGGAGGAGGCUACUAGUACUAAUACUACUGGAUAGUGGACGUUACUCGCAGAAUAAGCACCGGCUAACUCUGUGCCAGCCGCCGCGGUAACAC